GCAAAAGUGACAAAUAAAUAUCAACACUCCUCCUUGACAUUUUUGCUGAAAACACCAAGACUUUUCCUUAAUAUUUCAAACCUUCUUUUGGAUAAUGACUUGGUGAGAAUAUCAGCAUAUUGAUUUUCAACACUGCAAUGUACAAGCUUCACUUCAUUAUUUUCUUGUGCUUCUCUGAUUGAAUGAUAUCUUAUUUUGAUGUGCUUUGUUCUUCCAUGAAACAUUGGGUUUUUAACCAUUGCAACCGCCGAUUGAUAGUCACAAUAAAUCACAGUUGCAUCAGAUUGCUUAUGAUUUAGAUCCUCCAAAACUUUCCUUAGCCAGACAGCCUGAUUUAUUGCUUCUGAUGCAGCCACAUAUUUUGCCUCUGCUGUUGAUUGAGCUACCAUUUUUUUGCUUCAUUGAGUUCCACCAAAUAACACUUGUUCCCAGAUAAAAUACAUAUCCAGAGGUUAUUUUCACAUCAUCAAACGAUCCAGCCCAAUCACUGUCAGUAUAUCCAGUUAAAAACAAGUUUUCUAACCUCUUAAACCAGAUUCAAAGGUCAGCAUUUCCUCUGAUAUAUCUUAGAACUCUCUUUGCAGCUUGAAAAUUUAAAUCACUUGGCUCUUAUCUAAACCUUGAAAGCAUAUUUGCAGCAAAUGUAAAGUCUGGUCUUGUGAUGGUUAGAUAUAAUAAACAACCUACCAAGCUUCCAUACACCUUUUCAUCAGGUCUCUUGCUUCUAUCUUUUUUCAUCAGCUUCAAAUUUUAAAUCAGUG
rnacentral:lncRNA from 1 species